rnacentral:misc_RNA from 1 species
CACCGAGAAAGAACCCGACCCGAUUUGCCGACCUACCAGGUAAUCCCCAACAGUUCUACCCCUCCCCGACGCUUGAGCCAUAAUUGAGAAGAAACCUGUAAAACCCUAGGAUCCGAACCCGAAACCAGCUGAAUUCAAGGCUGAAGACGAGCUGUGUUGGUUAAAAACUAAGAAAUGGAUUGUUUUUGAAGAUUCGACCCAAGUUCGAAGGAUCGGAUUGGCCUAAAUGAGAUAAAAUUACGAUAGAAGGAGGGAAGCAGAGGCGGAUUACACAAGCUUUAUGAUCAUAUAAUAAUUUACAUUUAAAC